AAAAAGUUCUUUAGACA
rnacentral:tRNA from 1 species